UUGUUUGCCAACCGCCAUAGCACCUCAGAAAAGAAGAAGAAGAAGCAUAACACCUGCUUCUUCGCGCAGGUGUUUUUGAUGUUAAUUCGAAGAGAAGCUGCACGAGCCGUGGAACGAAAAAAAAAGACGCGAAGAAAAAAUGUGCUGCUUAACUACUGAAACUGUUCCGGGAGGAGGGAACUUUUGGCGUUAAUGCACCAACCGCACUAAAACCUCAAAUAAGAACGAGGGAACUUUUAAAAAGAAGAGAAAAAAAGAUAAGAAAACUACCGCGGCGUGACGUCAGACGCCGAGAUGUGGCCGCGUGCAUCAGCUCCAGUAUAAAAACGCAGCAAGGCGCUCCAGGAUGGCGUGUUCGACCUGGUCCAGAUUGGUGACCCGUUCAGAAUGGAACGACCUGCUUCCUGCUCACGGAGACCUGGUCAGACCCGCCAUAUACAAAAGCCUGAGGCUGUCAAAAAAAGAUUGAUCUUCAUGAAGAUCAUCAAAUAGUAAGAAUCAUGAUUAAAUUCUGGGUGGCCGCUGUGUCCCCACUCUUUCUUGGCCGCUGUGCCUACAUCUCUCUGGAUUGUCCAACAUGGCCACGUUAUUUCUAUUCUCCUGCUUUCCAUCUGUCAAAUAGCUGAAGGUUUUACAUGGAGCAUUUGCCACAGGUUGGUUUUGUAUGUUCCUGUCCACUUUAUUAUGUGGUCUGAAAUCUGGUCCUUGUUGGUUAUAUUUUUGUGGAACUGCUGAGCGAGUGAAUUGAAAGAAUGAGGUGACGGAUGGAGUGUUUGAAAUUCUCUCUCUAAAUGAAUGGGUUGUGUGUGACUGAGAAUCCUGGAUUGAAUAGUUAAGAUGGUCUGAGAAUAUGAUUUUGUUCAGCAGUUCACAUUAAAGUAGAAAUGGUGUCUUGAAGAGCUUAAGUUAUAAUGCACUAACAUUUCCUUUUUAGGUCUGUCUACAAAGGGUGAGUCCAUAUUUUUUUAUUUCUUUUGCAGAGUAGGGAAAUAAACAAAAAAAACAACUUUUUUUUAAAGUGAAAGUACUGUCGGCAACUGACUUGCUAGUCUAUCUGCCCACAGCUAACUACCGUAUCACACUGACAAUUUACAUGCAAAGGUAAGAACACGUCUCUCUAUGGUGACGUUUUCUUGCCACUUUGCCCUUAAACACUUUUUCUUUCCAACUGUUUCUUAAGACGGUAAGUCACACGCAGGCCGCGGGCCAUCGCUCUUCCGGCCGCCGUGUCGAGCUGUCCUGGCCCUCCUCGUGCCUUUCCUCACUUCUAAAAGGAAAAAUAUCAACUAGCACUAAAAUAUUGUGAUGUUGGAGGACCAGAUCUUAAAUGAGGUUUAAAUGGAUGUUGGUGUACAGUUAAAGCUAGAUGGUAGGAAUAAAAUUAAUGUUGUGCCUUGUACACUCUGUCACAAGGCUUAGACUUCUUGGCCGCUGUGCCUUUUUUUUUUUUCCUUCUCUUUUCCAUCGUGGCCAUUAAUCUACCGUUAGCCCUAGAACGUUAAAAUAGAUCCUUGUGAUCUACAAACAUAGUACUUGGCUUUUGAUGGCAGCCCUGCCAUUGCCUUUGUAUGGCCAUACGUCCCUUAAUGCAAGUAGGCCAUGAUCGCUAACUGUGCCCGCGCCUUCGUAACCUACUUGUGUUAUUGUACGUCUGGCCUUGCGCGUAUAGUAAUUUACAUAGACAAACAUGGGUGCCUUCCGCGUCCAUGCACAGUAAGUGAACUAACCUGUACUUUUCUUUUAGCAUCAGUCAAGAGGAGCACCGACAUCACUGCAUGUCCAUCUUAAUUAGAUUGCGUUUUAGUUUAGUUUAAAUUUCAAAUGGUGAGUGCAGUUUUUCUUUCUUGCUUGGCCGCUGUGCCAUUACUAUACCUCCUCUGACCUAAAUCUUGAUUCUUCAUGGCCACUGUGUCAUGACUGUACUUGGUGUUUAUGCCAGUCUAUCAUUUCUAAUCUGUUUUUCCUAGAGUGUGUGUGUGUGUGUGUGUGUGUGUGUGUGAG